UACCAGCUCUCCGAGUGGUAGGGAUGAUUAUUGGGCUUAAAGCGUCCGUAGCCGGCUUAGCAAGUCUCCUGUUAAAUUCAGCGACCUAAUCGUUGAGCCGCGGGAGAUACUAUUAGGCUAGGAGGCGGGAGAGGUCAACGGUACUUCUGGGGUAGGGGUGAAAUCCUAUAAUCCCAGGAGGACCACCAGUGGCGAAGGCUGUUGACUAGAACGCGCUCGACGGUGAGGGACGAAAGCUGGGGGGAGCGAACCGGAUUAGAUACCCGGGUAGUCCCAGCUGUAAACGAUGCGGGCUAGGUGUUGGGGUGGCUACGUGCCACUUCAGUGCCGCAGGGAAGCCAUUAAGCCCGCCGCCUGGGGAGUACGGCCGCAAGGCUGAAACUUAAAGGAAUUGGCGGGGGGGCACCACAAAGCGUGAAGCUUGCGGUUC
rnacentral:rRNA from 1 species